UACGGAAGGCAGCAGUGGGGAAUAUUGCACAAUGGGCGCAAGCCUGAUGCAGCCAUGCCGCGUGUAUGAAGAAGGCCUUCGGGUUGUAAAGUACUUUCAGUCGUGAGGAAGGUGUUAAGGUUAAUAACCUUAGCAAUUGACGUUAGCGACAGAAGAAGCACCGGCUAACUCCGUGCCAGCAGCCGCGGUAAUACGGAGGGUGCGAGCGUUAAUCGGAAUUACUGGGCGUAAAGGGCACGCAGGCGGUUAAUUAAGUUGGAUGUGAAAUCCCCGGGCUUAACCUGGGAAUGGCAUUCAAGACUGGUUAGCUAGAGUCUUGUAGAGGGGGUAGAAUUCCAUGUGUAGCGGUGAAAUGCGUAGAGAUGUGGAGGAAUACCGGUGGCGAAAGGCGGCCCCUGGGACAAAGGACUGACGCUCAUGUGCGAAAGCGUGGGGAGCGAAAACAGGGAUUAGAUACC
rnacentral:rRNA from 1 species